GGCUGGUCCAAAAGUAGUUAUCUCAAUUGAUUGUUCACAGUCAGUUACAGAUCAAACUCCUUGUUCUACUGUUUCCCCCUUCUCACUACUGCAAUUGACUAGUUUAAA
rnacentral:Y_RNA from 1 species